UAUUGUUACUCUAGAAUCUAGAUAAUAUAUUAUAAAACUUUUUUUAUGUUAGUUAUUAUUUAUUAUUAUAUUUGUUUCUAAGGUCGUCGUCCGACAUACUUAUUUUUUCCAAACUGUUAUUGCGAUAUCGUUCACGAUUGAUUUUAAAUCAUAUUCGUCUUAGGGAUCAAAAUAUCCACAGUUAUGAUUGAAAAAGUGGAAAUUUAAUUUACAAGUAUAAUUCUAUUUGAAGUGAUUUAACCGAAUUCAAUGACGUCAAGAUUACUAAUCGAAUGGAGUCCAGCAUUGACCCACUCGGCAACCACUGUAUAAUCAUAACGGAACCCACUACUCACUACGCAACCUAACCUACAGUGGGCAACCUUUUUAAUUUUAAUAUUAAAAAAAUAAAUUAAAUCCAUAUUAUUGGCCGAAUAGCGAUUAUUUAUUGUAUUUAUUCAUAGACUAUAACUAACACAGUAUAUAAUAGUUAUUUUGGCUUUGUAUCGUUUAUAAAAUCGACGUUCGCAACGGUUUUUGUUCGAUGUUGAAUGAAAUAUCUCCGUUCUAAUUUGAAAUAAACACUUAUUUUUUGGUGCGACAUACCAUUAAAAAACUUGGCUCUUCUUAUUAAAAUAUAUACCUACUCGCCGCAUAUAUUAUUAUAAUCUGAACGCGACCGUACGACAUAUUUCGGAAUGCGGUUUUGUGCAGUAAUGCCUAAAACUGGUUGAGUGAUCGGAGUUGUACCGUCAAAAUCGCGAGAGCAAACAGAAACGACGCGUUAUCGAUGGGAUUACUUAACGAAUAAGUCACUGCGGUUGAGCGAUAGGCGGGACUGCAUGGUAAUCGCAAUAAGCACUCGCAACUACCUACCUCACGGUGUUACUGACGUAGUUAUAUUCAAAGUACUGAAUAUUCCGCGACUGUGACUGAUAAUAUAAUCCAUAAUACGUAUGAUGAUUUACCUAAGUAUUCAAAUAAAUAGAGGCGACCUCAAAACGAAAACCAGACCAAUGACGAAACGAAAUUGUAGCAAUACAAAAUGCAAAAAUGCUUGGAUAGGUAAAUCUCAAUAAAUAAUUAGCACGUUUUGGAAGAAUGUAUUAAAAUUAAUUAUAUUUUACAUAAUCGAAACGACUAUUUAUUAUUUAAAUUA